rnacentral:misc_RNA from 1 species
AUUAUUGCUAUUGGCAUGGAUGAUUCCACUAUUCAGAUCUAUAAUGUCCGUGUUGAUGAGGUCAAGAGCAAGCUCAAAGGUCACUCUAAAAGAAUAACAGGCCUUGCCUUUUCCCAUGUGCUGAAUGUGCUUGUUUCAUCAGGAGCAGAUGCUCAACUUUGUGUCUGGAGUUCUGAUGGAUGGGAAAAGCAGAAGACGAGAUUCUUGCAAGUUCCACCUGGGAGAACUACAACUGGACAAUCAGACACACGUGUACA